rnacentral:rRNA from 1 species
CUUGUUAGAUCCUGCCAGUAGUCAUAUGCUUGUCUCAAAGAUUAAACCAUGCAUGUCUAAGUAUGAACUAAUUCAGGCUAUGAAAAUACGAAUGGCUCAUUAAAUCAGUUAUAGUUUUUUUGAUGGUACCAUACUACUCAGAUCACUGUAGUAAUUCUAGAGAUAAUACGUGCACCAAGUCUCAACUCUUUGGAAGGGAUGCGUUUUUUAGAUAAAAGGCCAGCACGGGCUUUCCCGCUUCUCCGGUGAAUCAUGAUAACUCGACGAAUUGCACAACCCUUGUGCUAGCGAUGCUUCAUUCAAAUUUCUGCCCUAUCAACUUUCGAUGGUAGGAUAGAGGCCUACCAUGGUGGUGAUGGGUGACAGAGAAUUAGGGUUCGAUUUUAGAGAGGGAUCUUGAGAAAUGGAUACCACAUCUAAGGAAGGCAGCAGGUGGGAAAAUUACCCAAUCCUGACAUGGGGAGGUAGUGACAAUAAAUAACAAUAUUGGGCUCAUCGAGUCUGGUAAUUGGAAUGAGUACAAUCUAAAUCCAUUAACGAGGAUCCAUUGGAGGGUAAGUCUGGUGCCAGCAACCACAGUAAUUCCAGCUCCAAUAGCCUAUAUUUAAGUUAUGACAGUUAAAAAACUCAUAGUUGGAUCUUGGGUCGUAAAGUCCGGUUCGCCUACUCAGUGUGCACCUACCCUUCCAUCCCUUUUGUCGACAGUGUGCUCCUGGAUUUAAUUGGCUGGGUCACGGCUCCGGUGCUGUUACAUUGAAAAAAUUAGAUUUCUCAAAGCAAGCUUAUGCUCUGAAUACAUUAGCAUGGAAUAACUUGAUAGGAUUCUGGUCCUAUUGUAUUAGCCUUCGGGACUGGAGUAAUGACUAAUAGGGACUGUUGGGGGCAUUCGUAUUUCAUUGUCAGAGGUGAAAUUCUUGGAUUUUUGAAAGAUGGACCACUGCGAAAUCAUUUUCCAAGGAUGUUUUCAUUAAUCAAGAAUGAAAUUUGGGGGCUCGAAGACGAUCAGAUACCAUCCUAGUGUCAACCAUAAACAAUGCUGACCAGGGAUCGAUAGAUGUUGCUCUAAGGACUCCACUAGCACCUUCUGAGAAAUUAGAGUGUUUGGGUUUGAGGGGGAGUAUGGUUGCAAGGCCGAAACUUAAAGGAAUUGACGGAAGGGAACCACCAGGAGUGGAGCCCGUGGAUUAAUUUGACUCAACAUGGGGAAACUUACCAGGUCCAGACAUAGUAAGGAUUGACAUAUUGAGAGCUCUUUCUUGAUUCUAUGGGUGGUGCUGCAUGGUCGUUCUUAGUUGGUGGAGUGAUUUGUCUCAUUAAGUUCGAUAAUGAACAAGACCUCAGCCUGCUAACUAGCUACGUGGAGGUUCCCCUUCGCGACCAGCUUCUUAGAGGGACUAUGGCCAUUUAGACCAUGGAAUUUUGAGUUAAUAAUAGGUUUGUGAUGCCCUUAGAUGUUAUGGGUUUCACGCAUGCUACACUGAUGCAGCCAAUAAGUUUUUCCUCCUGGUUCGAGAGGAUCAGGAAAUCUUCUCAAAUUUCAUCAUGAUGGGGAUAGACCAUUGCAAUUAUUGGUCUUCAAUGAGGAAUUCCUAAUAAGAGCGUGUCAUCAACUCGUGUUGACUACGUCCUUGCCCUUUGUACACAUCGCCCAUCACUCCUACCGAUUGAAUGAAUCAGUGAACUGUUUGGAUUUAGAGGAAGGAGAAUUCAUAACAAGGUUACUGUAGGUAAACCUGCGAUAGGAUUAUUG